rnacentral:rRNA from 1 species
ACGAAGGGGGCUAGCGUUGUUCGGAAUUACUGGGCGUAAAGCGCACGUAGGCGGAUUGCCAAGUCAGGGGUGAAAUCCCGGGGCUCAACCUCGGAACUGCCUUUGAUACUGUCAGUCUAGAGUCCGGAAGAGGUGGGUGGAAUUCCUAGUGUAGAGGUGAAAUUCGCAGAUAUUAGGAAGAACACCGGUGGCGAAGGCGGCCCACUGGUCCGGAACUGACGCUGAGGUGCGAAAGCGUGGGGAGCAAACAG